rnacentral:rRNA from 1 species
CCUACGGGAGGCUGCAGUGGGGAAUAUUGGACAAUGGGGGCAACCCUGAUCCAGCCAUGCCGCGUGUGUGAAGAAGGCCCUCGGGUUGUAAAGCACUUUCAGUGAGGAAGAACGCCUGGUGGUUAAUACCCAUCAGGAAAGACAUCACUCACGGAAGAAGCACCGGCUAACUCCGUGCCAGCAGCCGCGGUAAUACGGAGGGUGCGAGCGUUAAUCGGAAUUACUGGGCGUAAAGCGCGCGUAGGUGGCUUGAUAAGCCGGUUGUGAAAGCCCCGGGCUCAACCUGGGAACGGCAUCCGGAACUGUCAAGCUAGAGUGCAGGAGAGGAAGGUAGAAUUCCCGGUGUAGCGGUGAAAUGCGUAGAGAUCGGGAGGAAUACCAGUGGCGAAGGCGGCCUUCUGGACUGACACUGACACUGAGGUGCGAAAGCGUGGGUAGCAAACAGGAUUAGAUACCCUUGUAGUC